ensembl:lncRNA
GGCCUGCUAAGAAGCCUGAGUUUGGUUCCCAGGAAUGGAGAGCGAGAUAACUGCUACAUGAUCAUAGGGCUUUUCAUCAAUCUUUUCUGUUCAUAAACACAUGCAAUUGCCAUAUGGAAAUAGGAUCUGCUGCCCCAAUUCCUCCUAAAAUAGAGCAUUUCUAAUUGCAGUUAUUUAACUUCCUUUCUGAAGUACUCUCCUUACUCUUCCUUUAGAAAUACUUGUUUUAAUUAUUUGGGUUAGCUUAGCAUGUGGAGGAAAAGGGAGUGGAACCGGCAAUUGGAAAGACUUCUCUGAAACUGGGCCUAGAGUCAUCCUCAGACAAACUAAAGCUGGUCGGUAAGAGGCUUUCUUGGGGGCACUUUGUUCUUCUUCCCAGAAGAAGUUCCACCACCUGCUGUAAGGUCAUGUCCACAGAAUGAGGUGGAGUCUUCAGGACUUUCCUAUCCCUCUCCCACCAUCACUAGAGGGCUAGGACCACCAGGUCUCCUGGGAAUCUAAGCUAUGAAAUAAGUGGAAGCUUUCCAAAGCUUUGAAAGUGACUCAUUUGGUAUCUUUGUACUGAAAGUCUGAAACUGUGUUUUCUCACUAAACUUCUCACUGUUUUUCCCUUUAUUUCUUUAACUGUUUAUAAUCGAGCAUUAAAAGCAGAAGCAAU